UCACGAGCACCUGCCCGGGACUCUUAUUUAGCUUCCAUGCCGCCUUCUCCACUAUAGGAUCAUGGAUAAGAUCUCGGCCGUGGUCUUCUGAACCCAGGGGUGAGUAUGCCUGAAAUUUAUGCAAUAUUCGCAGCCAAAUUUUGUGUUUUUCCUCUUCCCAUUCAUUGCCCAAAAAGAACCCCAACAAGGUGUGAUCAUCAUAAGUCAAACCCUGAAGAAAAAUUCAGAAAAGGAACAGAUUUUUUAGUCCUUACAGUGACAUGGAUGCCGUUCUUCUUGCAAGCCUCUAGCAUUUUAUCAUUCCUCCAUCCAGGGUGCAUCUCCAUCUGAACUUCAUAAACAAAUAGGAUCAAUUACCUAAGCAUAACAAUACUACACACACACACACACACACGGGGACGCUUACAUGCAGACACUAAAAGAGGGCUAUUCUUAUGAUAAAACCUGGUUACCUGGCAUACAGACGGCAUGAUUUGAGCAAGACCUAGUAGCUUGCUGAGCUUUUUGAGCGUGAAAUUACAAACUCCAAUGUCUCUCACAAGAUUAUCCUUCACAAGCUUCUCCAUUUCCCUCCAAACCCCUUCCAUGUUAAAUUCCAUGACAUCCCCCUGUUUAGGAGGCUUACUUGCUCCCUCUUUCAGAUGAAAUGGCCAAUGGAUCUGUAGUGAAAUAAUAUGGAGGAGUGUUAGAUUGGAAAUUCAUUUACUGUUUUUAAUAUAAAGUUAUAAACCCAAGAGCUGAGCUAUACUGCCCCAAACUUACCAGGUAAAGAUCAAGGUAGUCAAGAUGCAACUCGCGGAGUGACUUCUCCAGUGCAGGACGGACUCUUUCGGGGGACAAAUCAGCGCACCUACAAGAGAUGCCAAUACAGCGGCUUUAGUUCGGCUUGCACCCGCAGGUACUACUCACCAAGGAGUACGAAGGUGAAAAAUUAAUCCUAAUUUUAC
rnacentral:lncRNA from 1 species